CAUAAAAUACAUAGUAAAGUAGAGCUGCUACAAGCCAAACGUGGAAGAAUUUUACGCCCAAAGUCGUGCAAAUAGACAACCCAACAAGUGCAAAACAACGCGGGUUUUCAGCAGGACCCAACAGGCAAGACAAAUAUCCAAAAUACUGCCUGUUAACGAUUAAAAUUACUGCUCUAAUUGGCUUCUUCAACAGCUCGGAAGAGCAGAACUCCCGUAAUAGUCACAAGGCAGGCAAGUUUCUAACAAGAGAAGGAAAAUAGAGCCAAUACGAACAUAUACAAUCAGUGAAACAAUUUAAUCACCACCUUAGACCAAGAUCUAACAAGAUUGAUCAUAACACAUGCUUUCGAUAAUCAACUUGAUAAUUAACCAACCUGUUACCAGCACAAACUCGGGAGACAAACAAAAUUUUCUAAAGAGCUGCUCAUGAAUGCAACGGACGCAUAAUUCUUACAACGUGGAGAUUAAAGUGCACUUUAUCAUGAAACAAGAAGCCCAGUUGGCGAAAGCAUCAAACAGAGGCUAGCUAAGAUGAGCAAACCAAGGUAUCUUGAUUUGAUUAGCACAUGUAAACAAACUUACCAAAGGGAAGGUUGUCCAAAACUAAAUCAUGGAGACAUGAAAGUUCCAAUGAAUCAACUUAGCAAAAUCAGCCAAACAAGCCACUGAAGAUGAAUAUAAUCACAUACUAAGGAAGGGCCUGCCAUUAAACAACAGUAGCUAUGAACAGCUUGAAAGAACAUCAGAUGAACAGAACGUUAACACUGAUGAAUCCUCAAGGAGAUGACAAUUGCAACUAGAUUCAUAGCAUAGAGUCGAUUGAUACAUAACCCAACAAAAUCCCCAACUCUCACAUCUUUGCUACUAGCAAAAUAACAUAAAACAUGUUAAUACAGGAAUGAAAGCAGGAAGCUCAUGCCAAAUGCAUACUACGUCUACAUUAGACAUGCAGGAUCAGAAACUUGGAAAUGAAAAUCUCAUGACUCGAUAAAUUUUUGACUUCUACGUUCACCUUUUAUCCACACCGAAAACAAUCAUUUAACUCAAAGAAAACAAACAGCAUAAACAUAUCUUCAAUACGAUUCAGAAUCCAUAGCAUGCUCAUUGAACACAGAACUUCAGCUAUUCUUUUAGACUUAACCAUUUUUACAAUUGUCCAUGACUUUCUUCACAACAGAAUAUAGGAGAAGAAAAGGAAUAACAACCUGGAAUUAAAUUGAAUUCAUCACAACACUGAAAUCGGCCAAAAGAGGAUAACUAGAAACUAAACAACAGUCCUCGAGCAGCAACAGACUCGAACUUGUCAAACAACUUCCAUUUUAACCCCAAAAUCGAGAAUUAUAACGAAAAGAUGAGUUCCAGAAGUCUCAAAGACAAAAAUUCUAAACAAUAAUCGACAAGAAAAAAUAAAAUCACAGCACUCUCAGUGAUUUUGUGUUGUUCCAGUAUCAUAAAUAUAAGAACGAAAUAAACUGAAAAUAAUCUCUCAAGUUCCUUUCUGAAAAAUCUCUCCAACUCUCAAAAUUUUCUUUUUUUCCACGGGAUUGGAAAUGGCCCUUUUGAAAACGAACCUCUGAUGAAUGUGGGGCUAGGAUUUAGUGAGAUCGAUCGCGUGAAAUGGUUCGAAAUCGGGCGAGUGCGAGGAGAGGGAAUCUCUGGUGUCAAAAACCAUUAGAACGGUGAGACGAGGGAUGGGGGAAUGCGUGGGUUGUGGAUUUGAGGCUCACUCGCCAUGGAUUGGACAGGAUUAGGGUUGGAUUCAGUAGGUUUGGAGAAGAAGAACAGAGGCUGCGUUUUGGGAGAUUAGGAUUUUGGGUGCCCGUUCGUUUCAUGUUUGUCAAUUGAGAACAGGUCGGGUAUGGGCUAGUUGGGGCGUGGGUUGGG
rnacentral:lncRNA from 1 species